UCAUUACUUUUUCAUUACCUUUGCCUAGCUAGCUUAAAUAUGUAUGUAUAUCCAAAUUAUUUUAUGUUGUCUUCAUAUAUACACUUAUCAAUAUUAGCAAUUUGACAAUAUGUUCAAGGUUAUAUCCCUUUAAACAGAGCAUAUUAUUCCAAAAGACUGUAUUCGGCGUUGGUUUCCAAAAGAAUUGCUUCAGGAAUAGUUUUAUGACCGUUUACAAAAUGAAGAAAAAAUAAGAAACGAUUAAAACAUAAACAUUUAUUUAAAUGAACCCCUAAAGACUAUUUGACAUUUCUUUAAUAAAUAAUUUAUAUAAUUGUGUGUUGUGACAGAAGUGCUUAAGUAAUUAUGUGUUUAUAUGGAUAUAUAGAUAUAGGAAUUUGCACUUAUUCUCAAGAGUAUACAUCUGUGUGUGUGAUCAGUGAUCGUACAAGGAUUUAGCUUAUGUAUCUACGAAUAAUGCCUACAUUAUACAUACAGACAUAAUUAAGUAGUUCUUCCGUCUUUGAUUUGCUAGUUUGUCAUUUAUUUCCACUUCGCUCUCUCACAUAAGUUCUUCAAAUGCAAUCACAUACAUA